rnacentral:rRNA from 1 species
UCCUACGGGAGGCAGCAGUGAGGAAUAUUGCGCAAUGGGGGAAACCCUGACGCAGCUAACGCCGCGUGUGGGAAGAAGGCCUUCGGGUCGUAAACCACUUUGCACGGGACGAAAAAGGGAUAUCGAACAAAUAUCCCCGAUGACGGUACCGUGAGAAUAAGCCACGGCUAAUUCUGUGCCAGCAGCCGCGGUAAGACAGAGGUGGCAAGCGUUGUUCGGAAUUACUGGGCGUAAAGAGUCUGUAGGUGGUUUGUCAAGUCUUUGGUGAAAGGCCGUAGCUUAACUAUGGGAAUGCCAAAGAGACUGGCAGGCUGGAGGCUGGGAGAGGGAAGCGGAAUUUCUGGUGUAGCGGUGAAAUGCGUAGAUAUCAGAAGGAAGGCCGGUGGCGAAGGCGGCUUCCUGGAACAGUCCUGACACUGAGAGACGAAAGCGUGGGGAGCAAACAGGAUUAGAUAC